rnacentral:rRNA from 1 species
UACGUAGGUGGCAAGCGUUAUCCGGAAUUAUUGGGCGUAAAGCGCGCGCAGGCGGUUUCUUAAGUUUGAUGUGAAAGCCCACGGCUCAACCGUGGAGGGUCAUUGGAAACUGGGGAACUUGAGUGCAGAAAAGAAAAGCGGAAUUCCACGUGUAGCGGUGAAAUGCGUAGAGAUGUGGAGGAACACCAGUGGCGAAGGCGGCUUUUUGGUCUGUAACUGACGCUGAGGCGCGAAAGCGUGGGGAGCAAACAGG